GUGUUGCCCAUUGACCUCAAGGUGGUUUUAUUGUACAUCACCAUGCUGUGGUCACAUAUCUCCAGGUUACAAUGAAUUGCUGCUUAUCUCUUCCUUCAACGACAUCACAGCUCCAUGGCCCAGCUGUCUCUGGCCUGCCUGUUGAUGUGAGGACAGAUGUGGGGCCUGAAGUCUGUGCUCUGCCAGGUGUGUGGACCCCCAAAGCCCCUCCUGCUGCCGAAGCCAUGCUGUGGCCUGGAGGAAGGAGUUGUGUGCCUGGGAGGUUGUCCAUUUCUAUACAAGUCUACCACAUUUCUAGUGAAAAUAUGAUUCAUCCUUACAAACCUCAUGUCACCUGAUGCAUGCUUAGCCACUGCACAGUGUGCCUCUGACCAGGACCAGAGUGUUGGUUCCUAGGCUGGAUAGUGAAGAUUGUUUGGUUUGGAUGCUUUGGUGAUGAGAAUUUGUGAUGUUUUUUGCUUCAGUGCCUGGUUCCAACAUCGCCCUGCUUUGUAACAACCCCCCUGUAACAGCUGCUCUCCAUAAACCAGUUCCUACCUCAUGACAAGCACUAGGAUUGGCUCAGCUGAAGCUCCCCAAACUGGAAUGGCUGUAAGGUGCUUCUUUCCAGAGAAGACCAUCAAAGCCACAGCUGUUAAUGACUGACCACCUAUGCAAAUCUCACCUAACCUUGGUCUCUGCACCAGGAAAUGUGCUGGUGGCCACCUGCAGCUCCAGCCCCUACCCUACACAGGGCAUUAGGGCACUGCCUCCUGUGUAAGCCAGCCCUGCUGCCAGCUCUGGUAGCUGCAGCAGUCAUGUGGAGCUUGCCCAGGGCUUCUCCCCAUACCCUUUCAGAGUAGGACUGAAUCAGGCUGGCAGGGUA